rnacentral:rRNA from 1 species
GAUGAACGCUGGCGGCGUGCCUAAUACAUGCAAGUCGAGCGAACAGACGAGGAGCUUGCUCCUCUGACGUUAGCGGCGGACGGGUGAGUAACACGUGGAUAACCUACCUAUAAGACUGGGAUAACUUCGGGAAACCGGAGCUAAUACCGGAUAAUAUAUUGAACCGCAUGGUUCAAUAGUGAAAGACGGUUUUGCUGUCACUUAUAGAUGGAUCCGCGCCGCAUUAGCUAGUUGGUAAGGUAACGGCCUACCAAGGCAACGAUGCGUAGCCGACCUGAGAGGGUGAUCGGCCACACUGGAACUGAGACACGGUCCAGACUCCUACGGGAGGUAGCAGUAGGGAAUCUUCCGCAAUGGGCGAAAGCCUGACGGAGCAACGCCGCGUGAGUGAUGAAGGUCUUCGGAUCGUAAAACUCUGUUAUUAGGGAAGAACAAAUGUGUAAGUAACUAUGCACGUCUUGACGGUACCUAAUCAGAAAGCCACGGCUAACUACGUG